ensembl:lncRNA
AAAGAAACGAGAGAGAGAGAGGGAGAGAGGGAGAGAGAGAGAGAGAGGUAGGGGCCGUACAAGCAUUUCUUUUAUAUUUACUAGCGAUUGAGGAGAAAGAGAGAGGGAGCGGGUGAAGAGACGACCGGUGCGUGCAGCUUUCCCAAGAGGAAAUGAAAAGAAAAGAAGCUCAACGAGGAAAGAGAGACAGCCAAAGCGGGGAGCACGCCAGAGAAGGAAACAGACUUGCAUCCUCUAACUCCAGUCAUAUCUGAGACGAUCCCGCUUGGAAAGUGAGGGAGGAGAGAGAGGGAGAGUGCGGUCAUCGCCACUGUGCGCCCACAAACACACAUACACACACACUCUUGUGGCAGCGGACCGCUGUGUGUUCGCCUGCUCUUUUGUGCCGGCAGCUGGGAUUGUUCUUAGCCCUGUCUGACCCCCUUGUCACCCCCCGUGUGAGUGUGUGUGUGUGGGAGCGCGAGGGGACCAGGAACGUGGACUGAGCGGAGGGGAGGGUCACCGGUUCGGGUGUCCGGACGGAGGAGGAGAGAAAUAUCUGCCUCCAAAACAGCUGGACAUGCACAUCAGCUCUUCUGUUGGGGGUCUCGGACUGACAUAGCCUCGGCCAAUCACAGCCUGAGUUAGAGGUGGCGGCCCAUAGGGGGCGUGAUGGCGGCCAUGCCGUUCGUCAGCGAGGGGAAGUGUGUGAGCGUGGAGUGGGACUUUCUACAGGGGCUCCUCGCCAAACCACCCACCUUACCCUGGCCCCAUUGAGAGCGAGUCGAUAUCCAAUCAGAGCGACAGCUACCUGGGCCUGCCUCCGAG